rnacentral:rRNA from 1 species
AUUGAACGCUGGCGGCAGGCCUAACACAUGCAAGUCGAGCGAGCGGCGGACGGGUGAGUAAUGUAUGGGGACUGCCCGAUAGAGGGGGAUAACUACUGGAAACGGUGGCUAAUACCGCAUACUAUCGGAUAACCCAUAUGGGAUUAGCUAGUAGGUGGGGUAAAGGCUCACUUAGGCGACGAUCCCUAGCUGGUCUGAGAGGAUGAGCGCCCACACGGGAACGGAGACACGGCCCAGAUCCCUACGGAGGCAGAAUUGGGAAAUAUUGCACAAUGGGGGCAAGCCGGAUGCAGCCAUGCCGCGGGUAGGAAGAAGGCCUUAGGGUUGUAAAGUACUUUCAGCGGGGAGGCGUUACCCGCAGAGGAAGCACCGGCUAACUCCGUGCCAGCAGCCGCGGUAAUUC